rnacentral:tRNA from 1 species
CAUUAAGAAGCUUUCACGAUAAGCAAUAGCCUUUU